rnacentral:rRNA from 1 species
UACGUAGGGUGCAAGCGUUAAUCGGAAUUACUGGGCGUAAAGCGUGCGCAGGCGGUUGUGCAAGACAGAUGUGAAAUCCCCGGGCUCAACCUGGGAACUGCAUUUGUGACUGCACAGCUUGAGUGCGGCAGAGGGGGAUGGAAUUCCGCGUGUAGCAGUGAAAUGCGUAGAUAUGCGGAGGAACACCGAUGGCGAAGGCAAUCCCCUGGGCCUGCACUAACGCUCAUGCACGAAAGCGUGGGGAGCAAACAGG